rnacentral:rRNA from 1 species
UACGUAGGGUGCAAGCGUUGUCCGGAAUUAUUGGGCGUAAAGAGCUCGUAGGCGGUCUGUCACGUCGGCUGUGAAAACCGGAGGCUCAACCUCCGGCCUGCAGUCGAUACGGGCAGACUAGAGUUCGGUAGGGGAGACUGGAAUUCCUGGUGUAGCGGUGAAAUGCGCAGAUAUCGGGAGGAACACCAGUGGCGAAGGCGGUUGCCUGGAGCUUUGCUGACGCUGAGGCGCGAAAGCGUGGGGAGCGAUCCGG